rnacentral:rRNA from 1 species
AGAUUGAACGCUGGCGGCAUGCCUAACACAUGCAAGUCGAACGGGAGUAGCAAUACUCUAGUGGCGGACGGGUGAGGAAUACGUAGGAAUUUGCCCUUAAGUGGGGGAUAACCCGGGGAAACCCGGAUUAAUACCGCAUGACCUCGAAAGAGCAAAGUGGGGGAUCGCAAGACCUCACGCUUUUGGAGAAGCCUACGUCGGAUUAGCUAGUUGGUGAGGUAAUGGCUCACCAAGGCGACGAUCCGUAACUGGUCUGAGAGGAUGAUCAGUCACACCGGAACUGAGACACGGUCCGGACUCCUA